rnacentral:rRNA from 1 species
GACGAACGCUGGCGGCGUGCCUAAUACAUGCAAGUUGAGCGCUGAAGGUUGGUACUUGUACCAACUGGAUGAGCAGCGAACGGGUGAGUAACGCGUGGGGAAUCUGCCUUUGAGCGGGGGACAACAUUUGGAAACGAAUGCUAAUACCGCAUAAAAACUUUAAACACAAGUUUUAAGUUUGAAAGAUGCAAUUGCAUCACUCAAAGAUGAUCCCGCGUUGUAUUAGCUAGUUGGUGAGGUAAAGGCUCACCAAGGCGAUGAUACAUAGCCGACCUGAGAGGGUGAGCGGCCACAUUGGGACGGAGACACGGCCCAAACUCCUACGGGAGGCAGCAGUAGGGAAUCUUCGGCAAGGGACGAAAGUCUGACCGAGAAACGCCGCGUGAGUGAAGAAGGUUGUCGGAUCGUAAAACUCUGUUGGUAGAGAAGAACGUUGGUGAGAGUGGAAAGCUCAUCAAGUGACGGUAACUACCCAGAAAGGGACGGCUAACUACGUG